CCUUUGGAGGGAACCCCGAAGAGCAGAAGUGGAGGUUAAAAGAAAAAUCUAAUUGGGAAUCGCUCAGAAAGAAGUCUACUUUCGUUACUUCUUUCUAUCAGUUUUCCUCCCUGUUUAAACUCCUCCACUUCGCUUCAAUUUGUGGAUUCUUCGCAAUCUACUCAUGAAGCUUCGCUCUCCUUGUGGCUUCUCGUCUGCCACCAAACUUCUCUCCUUCGC
rnacentral:ribozyme from 1 species